GACGAACGCUGGCGGCGCGCUUAACACAUGCAAGUCGAGCGAGAACCUGGGCUUCGGCCCUGGGGACAGCGGCGAACGGGUGAGUAACACGUGGGUAAUCUGCCCUUGACAUCGGGAUAGCCCGGGGAAACCCGGAUUAAUACCGAAUAGCAUCCGGAGCCUUCGGGCGCCGGAGAAAAGGUAGCUUCGGCCUCUGGUCAAGGAUGAGGCGGCGGCGGAUUAGCUUGUUGGCGGGGUAACGGCCCACCAAGGCGACGAUCCGUAGCUGGUUUGAGAGGACGAGCAGCCACACUGGGACUGAGACACGGCCCAGACUCCUACGGGAGGCAGCAGUGGGGAAGCUUGCGCCAAUGCGGGAAACCAUGACGCAGCGACGCCGCGUGGGGGAAGAAGGCCUUCGGGUUGUAAACCUCUUUCAGGAGGGACGAAGCCACUCGGGUUAAUAGCCCAGAGGGUGACGGUACCUCCAGAAGAAGCCCCGGCUAACUCUGUGCCAGCAGCCGCAGUAACAC
rnacentral:rRNA from 1 species